UCGACGGGCCGUGACUGGCGCGCUGGGAUGGGACCGACCAUCGGGGAGCGGCCCGUAGUCGAGCGAUCGAGUGCCGUGCGCCUGGGCCGACCGU
rnacentral:ncRNA from 2 species